UCCGCCCAAGGUGGGGGAUCGGGGGCAGGGGGCCCACCAGGCCCGGCUGGAUGCUGGGUUAAUGGGCAUCUUUCCAGUACAGUGAAUUGCUGUCAAGUAUCCGGUGAGGGAGCGCGUUGGCCAGAGCGAGCUGGCGGAACUCCGGGUCUCGCCCAUGUUAAUACCAUGAUUAAUUACAGCCCCGGCGCAAACAGGGCUCUCCACGCUGGCUCAGGAAGCCGGGCCUGGAUAUUUGACAGCCCAUAUGCUUGUCUGCGGGACCACUCGGGACCCAGGUUGAAUGGGGGGUGGGAGGGAGGAGGGAGGGAGAGCUGUUCGGGCGCGCUGACUGUAAUGAGAAAUGAGAAAACUGCUGAAAAAUUGAUGCCGCCCGCAGAUUGCACAAUCCGCCGCCCAGCGGGGGGCCGGCUGCUUCCAUCCACCGCUCUCGCUACGAUAUGCUAAUUUCUGCCUGCAUCCGAGAGUGAGAGGCAAGAAGAAAAGAUUUCACAAAAGGGGAGAAAAAAAAUGCAAAUGACAGCCACAAAGAUCGCUGCAGAGAAAUCCAUGAGCUUUAUAUGGAUUAACUGUGUUGGGACUGGCUUUAACCCUUUCCCAGCUCUCAGGGCUGGCCAGCGCCGCGGGGACCAAGGAAGGAUGCUGCCAAGGAAGAAGUGCCAAGCCAGGAAGCAGGAGGAAGAGAGACCUGGGAAGUAUUAGAGGAGGCGAGAGGCUUCUCUUCAGAGAGAUCGCCUUCUCCCAGAAUACCAAUCCGUGGGUUCUCCUGUUCAGUGAUGAGGAAACAGAGGCUCAAGAGGUUAAGUGACUUGUCCACAGAGCCACAGGCAGUUGAAGACACAGCUUGGCUUAAAUUUAGGUCUCCUGACUACUAGUCAAUGAAAAAUGGAAUUUAUCAGGGGAUGUGGCCUUCGGAUGGGUCUUUGCCAUCUCUGUGAAGAAGACGAAGCCCCUGUGGGGUAUGAAUAACAUUUACUUGGGCUCCCAACCUUUUUCUGCAUCAUUAAAAUAUUAAUUUAAAAUCUACAUCUGCCCCUACUUCUCUUCCAAAGAUUUUGUGAACCCAGAUGGCAUAUGGAAAACUCUUUGGGCAUCCAAGAAAGGGUGAUUUUGCUUGUUUGUUUUUCCAAAGAAGAAAGCAUAAUUCAAGAUGUCAAGAUGUAUUGGUAUACUGUAACCAGGCUUAUUGGUUGGGAGAACCUCAGUGGCCUGAAGGGACAGGCUGAAAAGAAAAAAGUAAAUGGCUAGGCAUUUGGAUGGAACGGACCAUCAAGUCUUUGGGUCCUAGGGCUUGUAGAUGGCGCCCAUCAGGAAACUGUCAAUGAAAUCGCUCAACUCCUAUUUUGUGCAUCAGGAUUCUGCUGAGCUUUUGAAAUUGCAAUAUCAUAAUUAAUCUUGGUGAUUUAGGAAACAAGAGACAAUUUGUAUGGAAAGAGGUAUUUGGUAUGGUGAAAAGAGCAUUGGGUGUGAGUUCAAAUGCCCUAGUUUCAAAUCCUAGGACAUUCCCAGGCAAGUCCUCACCUCUGAGUUUCCUCAUCUGUAAAAUGAAAGAAAGGAUCUUCAAAAUUUCUUUUGAUUCUAAAUUUACAAUCCUUAGCCUUGUGGGAAAUAAUGACUAUUUAGGAAGUGUAUGGAGUUGGCUUCCUUAAAUUGGAGAAUUAGUAUUCUUGGAUAAGAGGCCAGGUUCUCUAUAUAACUGAGAAUCAUAUUGCCAAUACCAAUGUGUUUCUUCUAACCUGAGAGGUGGGUCACCAGAGCUCAUGCCAGUCCACCUAGAGAUCCAGAUUUGGGCAUAUUAAUCUUGGUAAAGUGGCCAGUCAUAUGCCACACUGGCUUUUUAGAAUGCUAAAGAGCUCUCAUUUUAUCCCUUGUGUUAUGCACCUGUAAAAAGAGGAAGAAAAAUGAAUAAGAAAGUUAUUAUGGCUAAGCCACCUGCUUCAUUUUUGUGGAAAAACAAAUGAUGGAUCACUCAGAAGUAAAGAAGGUGACAUUGAGUUUUUUUGGUUUGCCUUUAUUUCUUUCCUUUCAAAUCAAUAAACCCUUCAUUCCACCUUA